CUUAUCUCUUCCUAAAUUUUGUGCCCAGUCAAAUGGGUUCACAAAAUUGAUAAAACGGAGGGAGUAUUUUCUUGGACACUUAACACGUGGACCUAAUUGUCUUUGCCAGCAAACCACAUGUAACCCACUUCAUAUAUAUUAUCUAACUCUAAAUUCUAAAAGCUAAUAAUACAAAGCAAAAAAAUUGGUGUCUCUCCUGAUAGCAACCAUUCUCAGUUUGAGUCAGCUUCUUGCUCUCUUCUGUGAUUUCGAAGUGUGCUUCUCUUCCGCGAGUUUCUCAGCCUUCCUUCUAUUUUUUACUCUUUCAGUAUUGAUCACUAUGGUAUUUCUAUUGAUAGUGAUAAAAUUCCCCUUUCUCCUUUAUUCUUUCAAUGUCAGAUCUCUUUAAUUUUUGUAUGGUGGUUGUGAUGGUGUUCUGCUCUAUGUCAAUUUUUGGGUUUGCAUAGGUAAUUUUAUUUAUGAAUCUAAGACUUUGAUCUCUAAAAAUUAGGUUUUUAUAUUUUCUUUUAUUUCACAAUCUUUCUCUUUGGUGAGUAUAUGUUCAAACUUUUUCCUGGGUUAUUUAAUGUUGGAUUUUCAACUUGCAUGUUCAUAUUUAUUGUUUAAUUUGCAUGUUUGGAAAUUGAUACCUAGGUGCAUGAUUAGGAUUUAUUUUUUUACUCUACAAGAUUCUAAUUCGUGAAUGAAGCUCAAAUCAACUUUUUCGCAUUUAAAGGGUCAAAUUCCUGUUUGCAAAAGGGUGUAAUACUAAUUUCCCUUACUAGUUGAUCUUAUUGUUUAUUUUGUUUCCCUUUUUUCUUUCUGUCACUUAUUUUUUCCCACUUUUCGUCUCUGUUGGCUGCUUCUCGUAACUAUUCUUUUUUAUUUUGGGCAUAAUUUUGGAAUUUCAUAGUUCUUGAUCUUUGAACUAAUGUUUUUGAAGUAUCUUAGGACUUUUCAGGGUUUCCUGAUGUUUGUUUGAUUCUUUUAUUAUUCUUUUUUUCCUGCGUUCAUAUCCAAAUAUUCAAGUAAUAAAAUAAUUAAAAUUGUGGAUUAUUUGCCAUUUGAGAAGUUGAAAGCACAUGUACAUAGAAGUUGUUGCAUGUGUGGUUCUAAUGAGCUUACUGUCUUUGUUGCUAAUUUUAUUUCUGUUCUGAUUCUUUUAAUGUUUGUACUAUGUGCUUCUCUUGAGAAUUGUUACCUCAUUUUUUAGGAGAAUUCUUACAGGUUUCCUGCGUUCUUCUUUCUUCUUUUUUCCUUCUUUCUUUAUUUUUUUUUCUAAUUUACGCACUCAAGGGACAGGAAAAUGUUAUUGUAUAUGAACUUGGCCAUCUAAGUGUAGUAGUGUAUAGUGUUGCCUCUUUCGUAAUUUGUCCCAUCUCUUUUUCUUACUUUUUAUCUUUGUUGGUUGCAUCUCACUACUGUUUUCCUCUUGCAGAGGGGUUUUAGCAGAAAUUAGGAUUUCGGUUGUUCUUGGUCUUUGAACUGAUCCUUUUAAAGAGUCUUUGGGACUUUCCAAGGUUUUCUACUGUUCUGAUUUUUUUUAUAACUUCUGUAAUGAGGUUGGUUGAACUUCUUCGCUUUGACUUUUAAUGAGUUUCUAUUAUGUGCUUCCCUUUUGCAUAGGAUUAUUUACAUUGUACAACAACUUCUAAUCUUGAGAUUAGUUGGACUAAACUCCAUAGUGAAAAUUGCCUACUUCCCAGUUAAAUUACAUAAAAGUAGCGGAAAAGGAGAUAGUUAUAGUUUGUUUAAAGAAAAGUGUUAGACCUUUUGUCUUAGACUGAGAGUAUUUCACUGCCUUCCCAAAAUGCAAAUAAAGAAGUUAAUUUCUAGAGUUGAUUUUGUGUUUUGCUAUUUUGACUUGAUAUAUGUAUUUGGUUGUUUGUUCUGUUACUAUUGUAGUGUAUGUGGACUUCUUCUUUUUAUCUUCUUUUUUCUUUUUUAAUUUAUGCACUCAAAAGACAUGGAGGUGUAGUUGUUUAUGUACUUGACCGUAUGUUAACUUGAGCUAUCUGUUUUUUGAGUUAUUUGUGCAAUUUCUAUUUUCCAUUGCACUUUUAUUUGUAGUCAGAUUUUUUGUUCUUUUUGAAUAAUAACUUGCUAAAAAUUUUACUUGAUGUUCCACAUUUUUGCAAUUCUUAUGAUUUUCUGAUGAAUUUUGUCGUUGUUACCAAGAUAUCAUGGCAUUAAGAGGAAAUAUCAAUCAAAUAACACCUGAUACACCCGAUUGGACAUGUAAAGUCCAAAUUGUGGAAAUAGGUCGAGAAAGAGAAACUGAGAAAAAAUUUAGAUAUCAGAAUCUGAUUCUAGAAGAUGAAGAGGUAAUUUUGUCUAUCUUUUAUAUAAUAUAAUCAACUUCUUAUAAUUAUAAUAUUCUAACUGCUUCUACGACAAAGUGACACUUUACAGGAACAACAAAUUAGAGGAGUCGUGUGGGGAGAUGACAUUCAAUAUUAUGCAGACAAGCUUAAGCUCUUCCACACAUAUCUCAUCUCCACUGCAAGAGUUAAAAUUUCAUCCACACAGUAUGGAAGACCCUUACAUAAAUUUUAUUGGGUGCUUGACAAAGAAACUAUAGUAGAACUGGUCGAAAAAAAUGGUGAGAGAGAGAUACCAAAGCCACCACCCCGCAAGCCGAAUCUCACUGAUUUUGACCAUAUUGCUCAUAUAACCCCUGAUCCUGCUACAGAAAUUGAUAUACUAGCAGUCGUUGUCCAUUGUGGCCCUCCAAAAUAUGCAGGUCGAGUUCCAAAUAGGUGUCGCGAGAUUAUUGUCACCGACAAUCAAAAAAACGACUUCUACUAACCUUAUGGGAGGACUUCUCAGAAGUUGAAGGAACCAAAAUCCAGCAAAAAAUCGAGUCGAAAGUGAACGGCGAUGAAAGAUAUCCGGUAAUCCUUGGGAGGAGUAUCGGAAUAUCUCCGUAUAACGGGCAAAAGAAAACAACGACAUGCUCGGCGGUUGUGCAUCAGACAACUUCUCAAGGUCACCAAGGUCAUCCACCUCUCUCAUGGUGAUUCCUACCCAACAACAAAUUAUUCCCAUUGCAGAAAUUCAGUCACAAACUUCCAAGUUUUGUGUGCUUGAAUGCUCGGGUUGCAAAUAAAAGUUGCGAACAAAGGAAAGAAGAGAUUUUGACUGCACCAAGUGUAAACAACGGACAACUUUAGUUCCUCGAUGUAUGUUCCAGAUUGAUCUUAUUGAUGGUAGCGGUUCAACAGCUGCAAUAAUUUCUGGUGAUGUCGCUGAAAAGAUGCUCUCAAUGACAGCAGAAGACAUAUUUGACACAACCUGUGUCAAGAAACAACUCUUGUACCAUGUCCUGGACACAUUUUCAGACAGAAUUUUCCGAAUCCAAUUAAGAAAAUCAUCUUGGAAAAGUUCUUGACUUUGUGCGUACAAGUCUAUCGGUUUUGUCAUUCGUGGAAAAGGAGCAUAUCUUUGCACCAAUAAUUAGUGAGAGAAGCCAAAAAAAGAUAAAGCCUCUAUGUACAGAUGAGAUAGAAAUGGAAACAGCAGAUGUGAUCACUAAAUAUUCAAGCGCAGGGCUGAAACUAUAACCACCAACACCAUAAAAAAGUGUAAAAGGAAGUAUUAACCUUUUUUGGGAUCUUUUGCUACUGAAAAGAAAACCUUUUUUGGGCUCUUACAUGAAUGGUACAGUCUCACUCCACCUUUCCUACAAAGGAAUUUAGUCGUGGUGGUAAUCGAAUAUUAAAAACUAGGGAAGACGAUUGUGCUGGUUGUGAAAGUUUUUGACUGCCUCAAUGUUCCACAAAUACAGGAGCCGCAGAAUCUCCCUAUGUUGUGAUUUUUGGAAUGGAAAAAGUUUGAAAAAGUUGGCUACUAUGGUUGGGAGCAUAGCUCCAGCACAUGUUGUACUGAAGAUACAAACUAUAUAUGUACUCUUUUGGUGUAUGGUGUAUAUAAUAUUUAAAUAUGGAUGGUUCCACUAGACAGUGUACUUAUGGUAUAUAAAAGGAUGUUUGUUAAGCA